ACUCCCGUAGCUCAGUGGAGAGAGCACUCGCCUCCUAAGCGAGGGGUCGGCAGUUCGACUCUGCCCGGGAGUGCCA
rnacentral:tRNA from 1 species